GCAUUAAUGGGGUAGUGGUAACCUGGGUCGUUGCCAUGAUAUGAUAUGUCUGAAUUUCGACCCGCCGGGGGUUCGAUUCCCCCUUAAUGCA